AAGUCGUAACAAGGUUUCCGUAGGUGAACCUGCGGAAGGAUCAUUAAAUGAAAAGCUGGUUUACCAGUAUACGGCCCCUGGGUUUGUUUCUGACAAGCGCCAGGAUCAGUCGUCAUUUAUACCCAUGUUUUUUGCGUACUACUUGUUUCCUUGGUAGGCUUGCCUACCAUUAGGACCACAUAAAACCUUUUGUAAUUGCAGUCAGCGUCAGAAAUAACUUAAUAGUUACAACUUUCAACAACGGAUCUCUUGGUUCUG
rnacentral:misc_RNA from 1 species